rnacentral:lncRNA from 1 species
AGUUAGCAGGCAAAAGAGGAAGAGCGGAAGAGAUCUAGAUGAGCUACCAGAAAGCCCCCCACGAGGAAUCCUACCCUCCACCAGGCAUGUAAUUUCUUCUGCUCCUCAUCCUCUUAGCAUUGUCCGUAACUUAGUGUAUCCGAUUUACUAGAUUGGCCCCUCUGCAGUUUUAAGUAAGAAACAAAUCUGAACUAUGGUGGCCAACUUCUUUCUUAUUUGUGAAUUCUACAACUAUCUUCUCGUCAAGCCUCCUGGGAUGUUCAUCCCUGUUAAUCUUGCUUUCAUAGUUGCUCUGUGCUCACUCUCUCAAGAGGUUUCUAUUCUUGCGAGCUGCGAUAGAUGCGACGCAAUAUGAUAAAGAUUUAAUUUGAUCUGAUUCUCCAAGUUCUCAGGUCAUGGAUUCUGUUAAAUCGCCGCAUGACGCUGGUUCCCCUCUCUGCAAUUUCAGGGUAUAAUCCGUCUCAGCAAUAUCCGUACCCUCCUCCCUCUCAGGGCUAUGGCCACCCGCCCCCUGGUGCGUACCCUCCACCUCAGGGUCAGGGACCGUACCCUCCACCGGGGUACCAAGGCUACUUCAACGACCAGCAGCACCCUUACUACCCGCCGCCGCAGCAGCAGCCGCCGCCUUAUGGGGGAUAUCAACACCAGGAACAGGAGGAUAGCUCCUGUGGGUUCCUCAAAGGAUG